AGAGUUUGAUCAUGGCUCAGAUUGAACGCUGGCGGCAGGCCUAACACAUGCAAGUCGAGCGGAUGAAGGGAGCUUGCUCCUGGAUUCAGCGGCGGACGGGUGAGUAAUGCCUAGGAAUCUGCCUGGUAGUGGGGGAUAACGUCCGGAAACGGGCGCUAAUACCGCAUACGUCCUGAGGGAGAAAGUGGGGGAUCUUCGGACCUCACGCUAUCAGAUGAGCCUAGGUCGGAUUAGCUAGUUGGUGGGGUAAAGGCCUACCAAGGCGACGAUCCGUAACUGGUCUGAGAGGAUGAUCAGUCACACUGGAACUGAGACACGGUCCAGACUCCUACGGGAGGCAGCAGUGGGGAAUAUUGGACAAUGGGCGAAAGCCUGAUCCAGCCAUGCCGCGUGUGUGAAGAAGGUCUCCGGAUUGUAAAGCACUUUAAGUUGGGAGGAAGGGCAGUAAGUUAAUACCUUGCUGUUUUGACGUUACCAACAGAAUAAGCACCGGCUAACUUCGUGCCAGCAGCCGCGGUAAUACGAAGGGUGCAAGCGUUAAUCGGAAUUACUGGGCGUAAAGCGCGCGUAGGUGGUUCAGCAAGUUGGAUGUGAAAUCCCCGGGCUCAACCUGGGAACUGCAUCCAAAACUACUGAGCUAGAGUACGGUAGAGGGUGGUGGAAUUUCCUGUGUAGCGGUGAAAUGCGUAGAUAUAGGAAGGAACACCAGUGGCGAAGGCGACCACCUGGACUGAUACUGACACUGAGGUGCGAAAGCGUGGGGAGCAGACAGGAUUAGAUACCCUGGUAGUCCACGCCGUAAACGAUGUCGACUAGCCGUUGGGAUCCUUGAGAUCUUAGUGGCGCAGCUAACGCGAUAAGUCGACCGCCUGGGGAGUACGGCCGCAAGGUUAAAACUCAAAUGAAUUGACGGGGGCCCGCACAAGCGGUGGAGCAUGUGGUUUAAUUCGAAGCAACGCGAAGAACCUUACCUGGCCUUGACAUGCUGAGAACUUUCCAGAGAUGGAUUGGUGCCUUCGGGAACUCAGACACAGGUGCUGCAUGGCUGUCGUCAGCUCGUGUCGUGAGAUGUUGGGUUUAGUCCCGUAACGAGCGCAACCCUUGUCCUUAGUUACCAGCACCUCGGGUGGGCACUCUAAGGAGACUGCCGGUGACAAACCGGAGGAAGGUGGGGAUGACGUCAAGUCAUCAUGGCCCCUUACGGCCAGGGCUACACACGUGCUACAAUGGUCGGUACAAAGGGUUGCCAAGCCGCGAGGUGGAGCUAAUCCCAUAAAACCGAUCGUAGUCCGGAUCGCAGUCUGCAACUCGACUGCGUGAAGUCGGAAUCGCUAGUAAUCGUGAAUCAGAAUGUCACGGUGAAUACGUUCCCGGGCCUUGUACACACCGCCCGUCACACCAUGGGAGUGGGUUGCUCCAGAAGUAGCUAGUCUAACCGCAAGGGGGACGGUUACCACGGAGUGAUUCAUGACUGGGGUGAAGUCGUAACAAGGUAGCCGUAGGGGAACCUGCGGCUG
rnacentral:rRNA from 1 species